CUCAGACUGCUGUGCUAGCAAUCAGCGAGACUCCGUGGGCGUAGGACCCUCCGAGCCAGGGGCGGGAUAUAAUCUCGUGGUGCGCCGUUUUUUAAGCCCCUCAGAAAAGCGCAGUAUUCGGGUGGGAGUGACCAGAUUUUCCAGGUGCGUCCGUCACCCCUUUCUUUGACUAGGAAAAGGAACUCCCUGACCCCUUGCGCUUCCCAAGUGAGGCAAUGCCUCGCCCUGCUUCGGCUCGCGCACGGUGCGCUGCACCCACUGACCUGCGCCCACUGUCUGGCACUCCCUAGAGAGAUGAACCCGGUACCUCAGAUGGAAAUGCAGAAAUCACCGUCUUCUGCGUCGCUCACGCUGGGAGAUGUAGACCAGAGCUGUUCCUAUUCGGCCAUCUUGGCUCCUCCCAGGAAGAGGAGAAAUGGCCAUGUGACAUACAGGAGAAAAGUCAUGUGAAGACAAAGGCAGAGAUCUCAGUGACUCACGUAUCAGCCAAGAAAUGUCAAGUCUUCCUGGCAACCAUUAGAAGCUAGAAGUAUGGGAAAAAUUCUCCCUCAGAGCCUCUAGAAGAAACCAACCCCCAGAAAACUUUGAUUUCAGACCUCUGGCUUCCAAACUAUGAGAGAAUAAAUUUCUGCUGUGUUAAGUCUCCCAGUUUGUGUUACUUAGUAAGGGAGCCCUGGGCAACUGGAACAAUUAGGCAUCUGUCCACGUAGUGCUUAGGCCUUAGAGCAGAAAUAGGAGAAUAUACACACACACACAGUAUCACCAAAAACAAGCUAUCUCAAAUAUCAAUAUGCUAUAUGUAAAUGAAGACAAAAUAAUUUCCAAGGAUAGAACAAUAAGGCUUGAGCUUGACACUUGGUUUGAAUACUUCUUAAGGGAUGAUUGGGAUUUGUGCGGAGGUAGAUUAGAGAAAAAUCCAAAUUUAAACUAGAAUGAGCAAUAGCACAAAUUAUAAAUGUGAUUAACACAUGCACGUUGUGCUUACAGCAUAUUAUCUGGUUUAAUGCAGAGACAAUGAAUGUCUCAGUGACAUAAUGAAGCUCUUAUUUUUAAAAAGAUUCUCUAUUUUCAUCUUCCUUUCACUCAUAUUAAUAUGUCUAAAUUCCAUUCAGUGUUCGUGACUCAAAUGACAACUUUUUGAUUGUAGUACUUCCGGAUUCUUUUAUUCCUUCAGUUCAAAUUAAGCUUCCUGACACUUUGAUUCAGCCUGCUUUUCCAUGUAAAUACAAUUUUAUUAUUUCUGUGUCAUAGCGGUGCUGGGGUGUUUGUGUUCACACCAGUCUUCUGCUAUUCAGCUUCAAAUUUGCUGAAGUAGUUUCAGGCUUUUUUUUUUUUUUUUUUGCUUUUCAUUUAUAAUACAGCAAAUUGUUUUACACAAAGGUGGUCCUUAUUAAACAUUUGCUGAAGUAAAAAUAUUAUUUACAUCUCUGUGUAUACUUGUUUAAAUUCACUGGCAAUUUUAUGCCUCUGUGGCUUCAAAAACACUAUAGACAGGUCUUUUAACUACUUAGAGAAAAACUGAUAUAAAAGUACAUUUGCAAUUGAAUGUUAUCAGAAAAACAAGGUACAGGGUAUAUUGAAGUGAGAUUAUUUAAAGGGAAUUUGCAGCAAUUCAUCUCUGCUAUCAGGAUAUGUUGAUUAUGUGGUAAAUAUGGUUGUAGUAUAAUGUGCAGAGCCAGUUUUUUAUUAAGCGGAUGUAUACAUAGUGGACCAAAUGUUUUCAGUUUUAACUAAGGCUCAAUUUACACUCACCAUUCAAGAAUCUCAGCUGAAGUUCUAUGGAAAGAUUCUUGAAUGGUGAGUGUGAAAAGAAUGUAAGCAAAUACAAUAAACUGUAAUAUGUACUGGUGAAGUGUAUACUGCCAUAAAUAUUGUCUUUUAUUCUAUUAGGCUUUGCAAAUCGGAAUGUUGUACAUUAAAAAUUUGAAUUCAAUAAAAUGUCAGAAAAACAGGUGAUUUUUAGUAAGUAACCAUUUUUAUUCGAUAUUGAGAAAUAAACCUUUACAACUUAUAAAAUAAGCACAAAAAUAAGAAGCAGUUUUUAAUAGUGUUUUGUAAUACAGGCUAUUCAUUUCAUAAUGUAUUUUCUUUAAAAUACUGUGCAGUUAUACUGUAUAGACUGUUCUUCCUUAAUAAUUAAGAAGAAACAAAUAUUUUUCACGCUUGCAACUAUUAUUAUUACACGGUAAUUAGUUGUUUACUUGAUGAAUUAAUUUUUCUUAUUUUAUAAAAUGCCUUUGGACAUUGUACAAAUUUGGUUUUUAUGAAAUAAAAUUACUUGUGUUUGAAUAAUUCAUGUUAGAAAGUUUUUUCACAUGAAAUUAAUUUUAAUUUCAGCAUGUCAAAGGAAAGAACGCAAAAUAAAAAUAAUCGCUAUUUGGUCCAUUAAUGAUUUUAUACUUAUAGAAUAUUCAACAUGUUUACUGCUCUUUGUGCUAAGAAAAGAAACUAAGUAUAUUCAACUUAAAUAUGUAAAAUUACACGUCUGAUUUUAAAAUAUGACAGUCUUUUUAAAUAAAGUACUUUUUUAAAUGA
rnacentral:lncRNA from 1 species